rnacentral:tRNA from 1 species
UGGAGGUGCGGGGGAUCGAACCCCGGGCCUUCCACAUGCAAAGCGAACGCUCUACCACUGAGCUACACCCCC